rnacentral:rRNA from 1 species
GAUGAACGCUGGCGGCGUGCAUAACACAUUCAAGUCGAACGGAGUUAUUAGGGAGCUUGCUCCUUGAUAACUUAGUGGCGGACGGGUGAGUAACGCGUGAGCAACUUGCCUCUAUGUGGGGAACAACGGCUGGAAACGGCCGCUAAUACCGCAUGAUAUGCAAUCGGGGCAUCCCGGAUGCAUCAAAGAUUUAUCGCACAGAGAUGGGCUCGCGUCUGAUUAGCUAGUUGGUGGGGUAAUGGCCUACCAAGGCGACGAUCAGUAGCCGGACUGAGAGGUUGAACGGCCACAUUGGAACUGAGAAACGGUCCAGACUCCUACGGGAGGCAGCAGUGGGGAAUAUUGGGCAAUGGGCGAAAGCCUGACCCAGCGACGCCGCGUGAAGGAAGAAGGUCUUCGGAUUGUAAACUUUAGUCAACAGGGAAGAAACAAAUGACGGUACCUGUGGAGGAAGCCACGGCUAACUACGUGCCAGCAGCCGCGGUAAUACGUAGGUGGCAAGCGUUAUCCGGAUUUACUGGGUGUAAAGGGUGUGUAGGCGGGGAAGUAAGUUGGAUGUGAAAUCUACAGGCUCAACCUGUAGACUGCGUCCAAAACUACUUUUCUUGAGUGUCGGAGAGGUAAGUGGAAUUCCUGGUGUAGCGGUGGAAUGCGUAGAUAUCAGGAGGAACAUCAGUGGCGAAGGCGACUUACUGGACUAUUACUGACGCUGAGACACGAAAGCGUGG